GUCUAUAACCCUCCCACUCUGAACACCCUUGAUCUCAUCUGCUCUCAGAAGCUAAGCAAGGUCAGGCCUGGUUAGUAUUUGGAUGGGUUAAAGACCUAAAUGUGAGACC
rfam:Felis catus isolate Cinnamon breed Abyssinian chromosome D3, whole genome shotgun sequence.